rnacentral:rRNA from 1 species
GAUCCUGGCUCAGGACGAACGCUGGCGGCGCGCCUAACACAUGCAAGUCGAACGAGAGAUGAAGAGCUUGCUCUUCAAAUCGAGUGGCGAACGGGUGAGUAACGCGUGAGGAACCUGCCUCAAAGAGGGGGACAACAGUUGGAAACGACUGCUAAUACCGCAUAAGCCCACAGCUCGGCAUCGAGCAGAGGGAAAAGGAGUGAUCCGCUUUGAGAUGGCCUCGCGUCCCGAUUAG